AUUGAACGCUGGCGGCAUGCCUAACACAUGCAAGUCGAACGGCAGCGCGGGUAGCAAUACUUGGCGGCGAGUGGCGGACGGGUGAGGAAUGCAUCGGAAUCUGCCCAGUUGUGGGGGAUAACUGGCCGAAAGGCCAGCUAAUACCGCAUACGACCGAGAGGUGAAAGCGGGGGACCUUCGGGCCUCGCGCGAUUGGAUGAGCCGAUGCCGGAUUAGCUAGUUGGUGGGGUAAAGGCCUACCAAGGCGACGAUCCGUAGCUGGUCUGAGAGGAUGAUCAGCCACACUGGAACUGAGACACGGUCCAGACUCCUACGGG
rnacentral:rRNA from 1 species